rnacentral:tRNA from 1 species
GCGGAUGUGGCGGAAUCGGCAGACGCGCCGGAUUUAGGUUCCUGUGCCGCAGGGCGUGCGGGUUCAAAUCCCGCCAUCCGCA